rnacentral:rRNA from 1 species
GAUGAACGCUGGCGGCGUGCCUAAUACAUGCAAGUCGAGCGAACAGACGAGGAGCUUGCUCCUCUGACGUUAGCGGCGGACGGGUGAGUAACACGUGGAUAACCUACCUAUAAGACUGGGAUAACUUCGGGAAACCGGAGCUAAUACCGGAUAACAUGUUGAACCGCAUGGUUCAACAGUGAAAGACGGUCUUGCUGUCACUUAUAGAUGGAUCCGCGCCGCAUUAGCUAGUUGGUAAGGUAACGGCUUACCAAGGCAACGAUGCGUAGCCGCCCUAAGAGGGUGAUCGGCCACACUGGAACUGAGACACGGUCCAGCCUCCUACGGGAGGCAGCAGUAGGGAAUCUUCCGCAAUGGGCGAAAGCCUGACGGAGCAACGCCGCGUGAGUGAAGAAGGUCUUCGGAUCGUAAAACUCUGUUACUAGGGAAGAACAAAUGUGUAAGUAACUAUGCACGUCUUGACGGUACCUAAUCAGAAAGCCACGGCUAACUACGUGCCAGCCGCCGCCGUAA